rnacentral:rRNA from 1 species
GCAUAUCAAUAAGCGGAGGAAAAGAAACCAACAGGGAUUGCCUUUAGUAACGGCGAAGUGAAGCGGCAACAGCUCAAAUUUGAAAUCUGGCUUCGGCCCGAGUUGUAAUUUGCAGAGGAUGUUUAUGGUGCGGUACCUUCCGAGUUCCCUGGAACGGGACGCCACAGAGGGUGAGAGCCCCGUCUGGUUGGAUACCAAACCUGUGUUAAACUCCUUCAACGAGUCGAGUAGUUUGGGAAUGCUGCUCUAAAUGGGAGGUAAAUCUCUUCUAAAGCUAAAUACCGGCCAGAGACCGAUAGCGCACAAGUAGAGUGAUCGAAAGAUGAAAAGCACCUUGAAAAGGGGGUUAAACAGUACGUGAAAUUGUUGAAAGGGAAGCGUUUAUGACCAGACUUGUGUCGUGUGGCUCAUCCGAGGUUCUCCCCGGUGCACUCCACACGGCUCAGGCCAACAUCGGUUCUCGUUGGGGGAUAAGAACAGUAGGAACGUAGCUCCUCUCGGGGAGUGUUAUAGCCUAUUGUACGAUACCCUGAUGGGGACCGAGGACCGCGCUUCGGCUAGGAUGUUGGCGUAAUGGUCAUUAGCGACCCGUCUUGAAACACGGACCAAGGAGUCGUCCAUUAGAGCGAGCGUUUGGGUGUAAAACCCGCACGCGUAAUGAAAGUGAAAUUAGGUGAGAGCUUCGGCGCAUCAUCGACCGAUCCUGAAGUUUACGGAUGGAUUUGAGUAAGAGUUUUAACGGACGGACCCGAAAGACAGUGAACUAUGCUUGAAUAGGGUGAAGCCAGAGGAAACUCUGGUGGAGGCUCGCAGCGGUUCUGACGUGCAAAUCGAUCGUCAAAUUUGAGCAUGGGGGGCGAAAGACUAAUCGAACUGUCUAGUAGCUGGUUAUCGCG